rnacentral:rRNA from 1 species
ACACGUAGGUGGCAAGCGUUAUCCGGAAUUAUUGGGCGUAAAGAGGGAGCAGGCGGCAGCAAGGGUCUGUGGUGAAAGCCUGAAGCUUAACUUCAGUAAGCCAUAGAAACCAGGCAGCUAGAGUGCAGGAGAGGAUCGUGGAAUUCCAUGUGUAGCGGUGAAAUGCGUAGAUAUAUGGAGGAACACCAGUGGCGAAGGCGACGAUCUGGCCUGCAACUGACGCUCAGUCCCGAAAGCGUGGGGAGCAAAUAGGAUUAGAUACCCUAGUGGUCCACGCCGUAAACGAUGAGUACUAAGUGUUGGAUGUCAAAGUUCAGUGCUGCAGUUAACGCAAUAAGUACUCCGCCUGAGUAGCACGUUCGCAAGAAUGAAACUCAAAGGAAUUGACGGGG